rnacentral:rRNA from 1 species
CCUACGGGAGGCAGCAGUGAGGAAUAUUGGUCACUGGACGAGAGUCUGAACCAGCCAAGUAGCGUGAAGGAUGACUGCCCUAUGGGUUGUAAACUUCUUUUAUAUGGGAAUAAAAUGUUCCACGUGUGGGAUUUUGUAUGUACCAUAUGAAUAAGGAUCGGCUAACUCCGUGCCAGCAGCCGCGGUAAUACGGAGGAUCCGAGCGUUAUCCGGAUUUAUUGGGUUUAAAGGGAGCGUAGGUGGAUUGUUAAGUCAGUUGUGAAAGUUUGCGGCUCAACCGUAAAAUUGCAGUUGAAACUGGCAGUCUUGAGGACAGUAGAGGUGGGCGGAAUUCGUGGUGUAGCGGUGAAAUGCUUAGAUAUCACGAAGAACUCCGAUUGCGAAGGCAGUUCACUGGACUGCAACUGACACUGAGGCUCGAAAGUGUGGGUAUCAAACAGGAUUAGAUACCCUUGUAGUC